AGCUUGCUGCAGGAUUUGCACCUGCGACCACGAUCUUAGAAGGAACGCACUCUGACUGCUGAGUUAAGCAAGC
rnacentral:tRNA from 1 species